AAACUGAAGAGUUUGAUCAUGGCUCAGAUUGAACGCUGGCGGCAGGCCUAACACAUGCAAGUCGAGCGGUAACAGAUCUAGCUUGCUAG
rnacentral:ncRNA from 1 species